GGCUGGGACCUCUGUACCUGCCAACUGGUGUGUCACGGAGAGGCUAAAAUUACUGGCUGGCCAAUUAUCUGAUUAAAGAGAACCUUUCAUUUGAGGCUUAAAAAAAAAAUCCAGACUGAAAUCAAAACCUUCUAUAAGACUUCUUUCACGGAACAAAAGAGGAGAUAAGUCAAUCCGAAUAUCAGUGAGGCACCUUGGCAUUAGAUUUCCAGGACCAAGCGGUGUAGAGGGCAGCAAGCCUCGAGAGAGAAUCAGGUUCCUGGAUACAAAAAGCAGUAAGAGCCGAUAUGAUUAUAACAAGUUGAGUGUUGGAACUUGGGUAUGCAACAGAAGACUGAUAAAGCUGGUGCAGUUGAAAACACUCUUUCAUCACAUGCUUAGCAGAAGUUCAAGUGGAGCGGAGCGCACAGCCAAGAAUCUGUCUGCGAGAUUCCCCGUCAGAAUGUCAGGUUUCGCUUCUGACUAACCCUGCUCCGAUCUGAUAGGGCUGACAGAAACAAAGGAAAUGUGCAGCCGGCAAAGCUCUCCCCCAGCCUUCUCCCGCUGAUCCCUCAAGACUGCAGACCAGCGAUUUUUUUUUUUUUCACAUUCACACAAGAACUCAGAGCUGCUGGCUUACCAAGCGCCAUGACACUUUUUAAAAUACUACUGGAAAUUGAUAAACUAUGUAAAAUUAAACCGGUAUCAAAGCUUA